rnacentral:misc_RNA from 1 species
AACGCACGAGACCUGCGGACCUGCGGAGGGAUCAUUAACGAGUGUAACUUACCCUUUUUUUUAAAAGAGGGUAGUACCUCCUGUCCUUUGUAGGCCCCUUUUUAUUGGGGGGCUUUUUAAGACUUUCUGCUUCGGCGGGGUUAUUCCCGCCGGAACACCCUCAAAAAACUCUUCAAAAACUAAUUCAGUCCGAGAAUUUUUGAAAAUAAAAAAAACUUUCAACAACGGAUCUCUAGAUCG